CCUACGGGAGGCAGCAGUGGGGAAUAUUGCGCAAUGGGCGAAAGCCUGACGCAGCGACGCCGCGUGAGGGAUGAAGGUCUUCGGAUCGUAAACCUCUGUCAGCAGGGAAGAACGGUCACUGUGCUAAUCAGCAGUGAAUUGACGGUACCUGCAAAGGAAGCACCGGCUAACUCCGUGCCAGCAGCCGCGGGAAUACGGAGGGUGCGAGCGUUAAUCGGAAUUACUGGGCGGAAAGCGCUAGGAGGCGGUAUGUCAAGUGAAGGGGGAAAUCACCGCGCUCAACGUGGAAACUGCCUUUGAAACUGGCAAACUGGAGUGUGUUAGAGGAUAGUGGAAUUC
rnacentral:rRNA from 1 species